rnacentral:lncRNA from 1 species
GGGGAAUUGUCCCAGUUUGGGGGGAAUUGUCCCAGUUUGGGGGGAAUUGUCCCAGUUUGGGGGGGAAUUGUCCCAGUUUGGUGGGAAUUGUCCCAGUUUGGUGGGAAUUGUCCCAGUUUGAGGGGGAAUUGUCCCAGUUUGGGGGAAUUGUCCCAGUUUGGGGGGGAAUUGUCCCAGUUUGGUGGGAAUUGUCCCAGUUUGGUGGGAAUUGUCCCAGUUUGGGGGGGAAUUGUCCCAGUUUGGGGGGGAAUUGUCCCAGUUUGGGGGUGCUGUCCCAGUUUGGGGGGAAUUGUCCCAGUUUGGGGGUGCUGUCCCAGUUUGUUGGGAAUUGUCCCAGUUUGGGGGGAAUUGUCCCAGUUUGGUGGGAAUUGUCCCAGUUUGGGGCGCUGGGGGCACUGGUUUGGUUUGGGGGCGCUGGGGGGCUCCGGGCUGGGCAUGGCCCCAGUUUGGCUGGUGGGGGCCGGCAGCCCCCGGAUUUGGGAUCAUUCGGGAUCGUUUGGGAUCAUUCGGGAUCAUUUGGGAUUUGGGAUUUGGGGCUGGAGCCGCGUGUCCGUGUCCCUGUCCCUGUCCCUGUCCCUGUCCCCGUCCCUGCUCCGGCUGCUCCCGGUUUCCCCUGGAUUUGGCUGGUUUGGAAUUCCCAGGAAUUCCCAGGAUCGGCCACUCCGUGUCCAUCCGGCUCCUGAUGGGGACAUUUCGGAGCGGGGACAUCCCGGGGUCGGAGCAUUCCGGGGUCGGAAUAUCUGGAACAUUCCGGGAUCGGCUCAUCCCAGGGUCGGAACAUCUGCUGGAANNNNNNNNNNGAACAUUCCGGGAUCGGCUCAUCCCAGGGUCGGAACAUCUGCUGGAAUGUUCCGGGAUUGGAUCUUUCCAGUGUUGGAACAUCUUCUGGAAUGUUCCAAUGUUGGAUCAUUCCGGUGUCGGAACAUCUGCUGGAACAUUCCAGGAUCAGAGCAUUCCGGUGUUGGAACAUCUUCUAGAACAUUCCGGGAUUGCAUCUUUCCAGUGUCGGAGCAUCUUCUGGAACGUUCCGGGAUCGGCUCAUUCUGGUGUUGGAAUAUCUGCUGGAAGGUUCCGGUGUCGGAUCAUUCCAGUGUUGGAACAUCUGCUGGAACAUUCUGGGAUUGGAGCAUUACUGUGUUGGAACAUCUUCUGGAACGUUCCGGGAUUGGCUCAUUCAGGUGUUGGAACAUCUGCUGGAACAUUCCAGGAUCGGAUCAUUCCAGCGUUGGAACAUCUGCUGGAACGUUCGGGUGUCGGAGCAUUCCGGUGUCAGAACAUCUGGAAUGUUCCGGUGUCAGAUCAUUCCAGUGUUGGAACAUCUUCUGGAACGUUCCGGUGUCAGAUCAUUGCGGUGUCGCAACAUCUGCUGGAAUGUUCCGGAAUUGGAUCAUUCCAGUAUUGGAACAUCUGCUGGAACAUUCCAGGAUCGGAUCAUUCCAGUGUCGGAACAUCUGGAACGUUCCGGUGUCGGAUCAUUCCAGUGUUGGAUCAUUCCAGUUCUGGAUCCCUCCGAUCUUGGAGCAUCCCAAUAAUGGAGCAUCCCCAGGCUGGGACAUUCCGGGAUUGGAGCAUCCCGGUGUGGGACCAUCGCAGUGCUGAACAUCCCAGUGUGGGAUCUGUGGGAUCUUCUGUGGGAUCUUCUGUGGGNNNNNNNNNNGGGAUCUUCUGUGGGAUCAUCCCAGUGUUGGGAUCUUCUGUGGGAUCCACCGCCGUGGGAUCGUCCCAGUACCGGAGCAUUCCCGUGGUGGAACAUUCCGGUACCGGAGCUUCCUGGUCCCAGAGCGUCCCAGUGCCGGAGCAUCCCCGUGGGGACAUCCCAGUGUUGAUUCAUCCCAGUCCCAGUUUAUCCCAGUCCAUCCCAGUUUAUUCCAGUCCCAGUUUAUCCCAGUUUAUCCCAGUUUAUCCUGGUCCCAGUUUAUCCCAGUUUAUCCCAGUCUCAGUCCAUCCCAGUUUAUCCCAGUCCAUCCUAGUCCCAGUUUAUCCCAGUCCCAGUUUAUCCCAGUUUACCCCAGUUUAUCCCAGUCCCAGUUUAUCCCAGUUUAUCCCAGUUUAUCCCGGUCCCGGCCCACCCCGAGGGGAAACUGAGGCAGGCUGCGGGCGGAGCGGGUGGCAGUGGCAGUGUUGGGGUCCCGCUGCGCCCCCGGGAGGGAAUUGGGGGGGCCGAGUCCCCCCUUUGGGACCCCCCCCCCAGUUUGGAGCUGCUUUUGGUCCUGUUUGGUGAGAAAAGCCCCAAAAAGGGUCCCGGGGGGGGUGGUGGGGGGGUCCUUUUGGGGGUCCCCCAGGGUGGGCACGACCCCCCAAAAACGGAGCGGCUGCGGGGGGGGGGGGGGGGGGGG